UGCUCCAAGCCGCUCCGCUCGUCACACUGCAGAGGAGGCAGCCCCUCCGAGGCGCGCUCGCUGGAGGGGGAGCCUUUCUUCUCUCCGCACACGGCCGUCGCAAAGUUUCCUACCACUCGGGGACGAAGGCGGAUCGAGUUCGAGCCUUGCUUCUUCGUCCGGACGACCCGAAAGUGCCAAAAGUCUGGCCGGCGAGCUGCGCCCUCGACUUCCCCAGCAGUCAACCUCUAACGCUUGCCCCUUUCUCGGCCGAGCACGGAUCCGGCGGGUCCUGGGAUGGGGCCAUCGGGAGACCCGGGGAUCUGCCGCCGGCGCCGCGCCCUCCCCUGCCCAGCUCCCGGGGCGCGCCAGCCUUCCCCCCACCCCCGGGAACUUGCCCACUCAGCUGUGUCACUGGAGGCAGAGAGUGGGGGCCCGGCUCCCAAAGGAACAGAGUUCGAGUCCUCACUGGCCACCGAGGGGGGCUUGAUCUUCCCAAGGACUCUGCACAUACCCCAGGGGGGCGCCCAGGGCCAAAAGUGACUUUGGAGUAGACCUGACUUUGUGAAACCUUGAACCCUGGGGUGUCCACGUCCCUUUCUCAUUGAAGAAGUUCAGCCGAGCUGUGGGUUGUGACUGUCCCCCUUCCCGGGCAGGACCCAGCAGCCAAGCAAACGCCAGGGAUGUGGGGAUUUUUUUUUUUAAGACCCACAUCUUAUAAAUGUGAGAUUUUUAUCAGGCAGUACAGAUUACUUAAAGCGCACCAUUUCUCCGCGAUCCAAUUUUAUUAGGAUUUACUCUCAUUUGUGCUCCACUUCUCUGGGGAAAUAAUGCUUUGAUUAAUGUAAUCCUGGCCCGGGAUCCGCCACAUGCCCCUCGCCCCUCUCCCAAGAGAAAGGGCCUGUUUGACAAACAAUAACAGAGCAGUAACUCUUACAAUCUGCCCACACCUUUGGGGGUGGCUGGGGAGAGGGUGACACACGUUCAAACGCCGUUUGCUAAAUGUAAUGGCGAGAGGAAGGAGCUGGCUCUGCAAGGAGCGAACUUUCCACACUUAACGCCCUGGGCUCUGAGGAUGGGGAGCUUUUGGGGAGGGACUUCGGAUGGGGUGCGCGCGUGGGUGCCUGUGCGCGCCUGCCCUCUGAUUGCUCCCAGUGUCUGCCUCUUUGUCCCCUGCCACAGGCCUCCGCCGCAGGGAUCUGCGCGCUCUCCGUGGACAGCACCCGGACCCAGGGCGCGUCCACAGCGCCCACCCGCGGCCCCAGAGCACCUCGAGAGCCAAUCUUAGGAGCUAGCCAGGCACCGAUCCGUGGUACCCUGCUGCUGCCAAAACCUUGGCUGGAAACCUAGAACGUGGGACCAAAUUAAAUGGUUUUCCUCCUGCAUACCUGCA